rnacentral:rRNA from 1 species
UUAUCCUACGGGGCGCAGCAGUGGGGAAUAUUGCGCAAUGGGGGCAACCCUGACGCAACAACGCCGCGUGAUUGAAGAAGUACCUCGGUAUGUAAAGCUCUAUCAGCAGGGAAGAAAAUGACGGUACCUGACUAAGAAGCCCCGGCUAAAUACGUGCCAGCAGCCGCGGUAAUACGUAUGGGGCAAGCGUUAUCCGGAUUUACUGGGUGUAAAGGGAGCGCAGGCGGCCUGCCAAGUCUGGUGUGAAAACCCGGGGCCCAACCCCGGGCCUGCAUUGGAAACUGGCGGGCUGGAGUGUCGGGGGG